GACGAACGCUGGCGGCGUGCUUAACACAUGCCAGUCGAACGGAAAGGCCUCUUUCGGGGGGUACUCGAGUGGCGAACGGGUGAGUAACACGUGAGUAACCUGCCCUUGACUUUGGGAUAACUUCAGGAAACUGGGGCUAAUACCGGAUAGGAGCUCCUGCUGCAUGGUGGGGGUUGGAAAGUUUCGGCGGUUGGGGAUGGACUCGCGGCUUAUCAGCUUGUUGGUGGGGUAGUGGCUUACCAAGGCUUUGACGGGUAGCCGGCCUGAGAGGGUGACCGGCCAAUUGGGGAUGGGGAAAGGGCCCAAACCCCUCGGGGGGGAAGGGGGGGGGAAUUUUCCAAAAGGGGGGGAACCCGAGUGCACCACCCCCGGGGGGGGAUGACGGCCUUCGGGUUUUAAACCGCUUUCGCUCAUGACGAAGCUUUGUGGGACGGUAGUGGGGAAAGAAGCACCGGCUAACUACGU
rnacentral:rRNA from 1 species